rnacentral:rRNA from 1 species
UGAGGAAUAUUGGUCAAUGGACGAGAGUCUGAACCAGCCAAGUAGCGUGCAGGAAGACGGCCCUAUGGGUUGUAAACUGCUUUUAUAAGGGAAUAAAGUUAGUCUCGUGAGACUUUUUGCAUGUACCUUAUGAAUAAGGACCGGCUAAUUCCGUGCCAGCAGCCGCGGUAAUACGGAAGGUCCGGGCGUUAUCCGGAUUUAUUGGGUUUAAAGGGAGCGUAGGCCGGAGAUUAAGCGUGUUGUGAAAUGUAGACGCUCAACGUCUGCACUGCAGCGCGAACUGGUUUCCUUGAGUACGCACAAAGUGGGCGGAAUUCGUGGUGUAGCGGUGAAAUGCUUAGAUAUCACGAAGAACUCCGAUUGCGAAGGCAGCUCACUGGAGCGCAACUGACGCUGAAGCUCGAAAGUGCGGGUAUCGAACAGGAUUAGAUACCCUGGUAGUCCGCACGGUAAACGAUGGAUGCCCGCUGUUGGUCUGAAUAGGUCAGCGGCCAAGCGAAAGCAUUAAGCAUCCCACCUGGGGAGUACGCCGGCAACGGUGAAACUCAAAGGAAUUGACGGGGGCCCGCACAAGCGGAGGAACAUGUGGUUUAAUUCGAUGAUACGCGAGGAACCUUACCCGGGCUUGAAUUGCAGAGGAAGGAUUUGGAGACAAUGACGCCCUUCGGGGCCUCUGUGAAGGUGCUGCAUGGUUGUCGUCAGCUCGUGCCGUGAGGUGUCGGCUUAAGUGCCAUAACGAGCGCAACCCCUCUCCUUAGUUGCCAUCAGGUCAUGCUGGGCACUCUGGGGACACUGCCACCGUAAGGUGUGAGGAAGGUGGGGAUGACGUCAAAUCAGCACGGCCCUUACGUCCGGGGCUACACACGUGUUACAAUGGCAGGUACAGAGAGACGGUCCCUUGCAAAAUGGAUCAAAUCCUUAAAGCCUGUCUCAGUUCGGACUGGGGUCUGCAACCCGACCCCACGAAGCUGGAUUCGCUAGUAAUCGCGCAUCAGCCAUGGCGCGGUGAAUACGUUCCC